rnacentral:misc_RNA from 1 species
GAUGAAGAACGUAGCGAAAUGCGAUACGUAAUGUGAAUUGCAGAAUUCAGUGAAUCAUCGAGUCUUUGAACGCACAUUGCGCCCCCUGGUAUUCCGGGGGGCAUGCCUGUCCGAGCGUCAUUGCUGCCCUCAAGCACGGCUUGUGUGUUGGGCCUCCGUCCUCCUCCCGGGGGACGGGCCCGAAAGGCAGCGGCGGCACCGCGUCCGGUCCUCGAGCGUAUGGGGCUUCGACACCCGCUCUUGUAGGCCCGGCCGGCGCUUGCCGACACAUCAAUCUUUUUUCCAGGUUGACCUCGGAUCAGGUAGGGAUACCCGCUGAACUUAAGCAUAUCAAUAAGCGGAGGA